AGGUGAUCCAACCGCAGGUUCCCCUACGGUUACCUUGUUACGACUUCACCCCAGUCAUGAAUCACAAAGUGGUAAGCGCCCUCCCGAAGGUUAAGCUACCUACUUCUUUUGCAACCCACUCCCAUGGUGUGACGGGCGGUGUGUACAAGGCCCGGGAACGUAUUCACCGUGGCAUUCUGAUCCACGAUUACUAGCGAUUCCGACUUCAUGGAGUCGAGUUGCAGACUCCAAUCCGGACUACGACGCACUUUAUGAGGUCCGCUUGCUCUCGCGAGGUCGCUUCUCUUUGUAUGCGCCAUUGUAGCACGUGUGUAGCCCUGGUCGUAAGGGCCAUGAUGACUUGACGUCAUCCCCACCUUCCUCCAGUUUAUCACUGGCAGUCUCCUUUGAGUUCCCGGCCGGACCGCUGGCAACAAAGGAUAAGGGUUGCGCUCGUUGCGGGACUUAACCCAACAUUUCACAACACGAGCUGACGACAGCCAUGCAGCACCUGUCUCACGGUUCCCGAAGGCACAUUCUCAUCUCUGAAAACUUCCGUGGAUGUCAAGACCAGGUAAGGUUCUUCGCGUUGCAUCGAAUUAAACCACAUGCUCCACCGCUUGUGCGGGCCCCCGUCAAUUCAUUUGAGUUUUAACCUUGCGGCCGUACUCCCCAGGCGGUCGACUUAACGCGUUAGCUCCGGAAGCCACGCCUCAAGGGCACAACCUCCAAGUCGACAUCGUUUACGGCGUGGACUACCAGGGUAUCUAAUCCUGUUUGCUCCCCACGCUUUCGCACCUGAGCGUCAGUCUUCGUCCAGGGGGCCGCCUUCGCCACCGGUAUUCCUCCAGAUCUCUACGCAUUUCACCGCUACACCUGGAAUUCUACCCCCCUCUACGAGACUCAAGCUUGCCAGUAUCAGAUGCAGUUCCCAGGUUGAGCCCGGGGAUUUCACAUCUGACUUAACAAACCGCCUGCGUGCGCUUUACGCCCAGUAAUUCCGAUUAACGCUUGCACCCUCCGUAUUACCGCGGCUGCUGGCACGGAGUUAGCCGUUGCUUCUUCUGCGGGUAACGUCAAUGAGCAAAGGUAUUAACUUUACUCCCUUCCUCCCCGCUGAAAGUACUUUACAACCCGAAGGCCUUCUUCAUACACGCGGCAUGGCUGCAUCAGGCUUGCGCCCAUUGUGCAAUAUUCCCCACUGCUGCCUCCCGUAGGAGUCUGGACCGUGUCUCAGUUCCAGUGUGGCUGGUCAUCCUCUCAGACCAGCUAGGGAUCGUCGCCUUGGUGAGCCGUUACCCCACCAACAAGCUAAUCCCAUCUGGGCACAUCCGAUGGCAAGAGGCCCGAAGGUCCCCCUCUUUGGUCUUGCGACGUUAUGCGGUAUUAGCUACCGUUUCCAGUAGUUAUCCCCCUCCAUCAGGCAGUUUCCCAGACAUUACUCACCCGUCCGCCACUCGUCAGCGAAGCAGCAAGCUGCUUCCUGUUACCGUUCGACUUGCAUGUGUUAGGCCUGCCGCCAGCGUUCAAUCUGAGCCAUGAUCAAACUCU
rnacentral:rRNA from 1 species